CGGACGGCUGAGGAACACGUGGGUAUCUGCCUCUUAGUGGGGGACAACGGGCCGAAAGGUCCGCUAAUCCCGCAUACGAUCCUUCGGGAUGAAAGCCUUCGGGCGCUGGGAGAGGAGCCUGCGGCCCAUCAGGUUGUUGGCGGGGUAAUGGCCCACCAAGCCUAUGACGGGUCCCUGGUCUGAGAGGACGACCAGGCAGACUGGGACUGAGACACGGCCCAGA
rnacentral:rRNA from 14 species